rnacentral:lncRNA from 1 species
CACUGGUCUUCUUGUGCUUAUCCGGGCAAGAACUUAUCGAAAUACAAUAGAAGUUUUUACUUAGAAGAGAUUUUCAGUGCUGUGGAUUGGAUUAUGCCAUUUGGAAUAAGAAUGCUGUUAAGAGCACACAAGCCAGGAGAAGUGAAAUGACAACCUCACUAGAUACAGUUGAGACCUUUGGUACCACAUCCUACUAUGAUGACGUGGGC